AGAGUUUGAUCAUGGCUCAGGACGAACGCUGGCGGCGUGCCUAACACAUGCAAGUCGAGCGGAGACAGUGAGUAGCUUGCUAUGAGCUGUUUUAGCGGCGGACGGGUGAGUAACGCGUGAGCAACCUUUCCCAGACAGGGGAAUAACACACCGAAAGGUGUACUAAUACCGCAUAAGACCACGGGAUCACAUGGUUCUGGGGUAAAAGAUUUAUCGGUUUGGGGUGGGCUCGCGUCCGAUUAGGUAGUUGGUGAGGUAACGGCCCACCAAGCCGACGAUCGGUAGCCGACCUGAGAGGGUGAUCGGCCACAUUGGGACUGAGACACGGCCCAAACUCCUACGGGAGGCAGCAGUGGGGAAUAUUGGGCAAUGGAGGAAACUCUGACCCAGCAACGCCGCGUGGAGGAAGAAGGUUUUCGGAUCGUAAACUCCUGUCCUUGGAGACGAGUAGAAGACGGUAUCCAAGGAGGAAGCCCCGGCUAACUACGUGCCAGCAGCCGCGGUAAUACGUAGGGGGCAAGCGUUGUCCGGAAUAACUGGGCGUAAAGGGCGCGUAGGCGGCUCGGUAAGUCUGGAGUGAAAGUCCUGCUUUUAAGGUGGGAAUUGCUUUGGAUACUGUCGGGCUUGAGUGCAGGAGAGGUUAGUGGAAUUCCCAGUGUAGCGGUGAAAUGCGUAGAGAUUGGGAGGAACACCAGUGGCGAAGGCGACUAACUGGACUGUAACUGACGCUGAGGCGCGAAAGUGUGGGGAGCAAACAGGAUUAGAUACCCUGGUAGUCCACACUGUAAACGAUGAAUGCUAGGUGUAGGGGGUAUCGACCCCUUCUGUGCCGAAGUCAACACAAUAAGCAUUCCGCCUGGGGAGUACGGCCGCAAGGUUGAAACUCAAAGGAAUUGACGGGGGCCCGCACAAGCAGCGGAGCAUGUGGUUUAAUUCGACGCAACGCGAAGAGCCUUACCAGUCCUUGACAUCCCGAUGACCGACCUGUAACGAGGUCUUCUCUUCGGAGCAACGGAGACAGGUGGUGCAUGGUUGUCGUCAGCUCGUGUCGUGAGAUGUUGGGUUAAGUCCCGCAACGAGCGCAACCCCUGUCCUUAGUAGCCAGCAGUACGGCUGGGCACUCUAGGGAGACUGCCGGGGAUAACCCGGAGGAAGGUGGGGACGACGUCAAAUCAUCAUGCCCCUUAUGGGCUGGGCUACACACGUGCUACAAUGGUGCUAACAAAGUGAAGCGAGCUGGUGACAGUAAGCAAAUCACAAAAAUGGCAUCUCAGUUCGGAUUGUAGUCUGCAACUCGACUACAUGAAGCUGGAAUCGCUAGUAAUCGCAGAUCAGAAUGCUGCGGUGAAUACGUUCCCGGGUCUUGUACACACCGCCCGUCACACCAUGGGAGUUGGAAAUGCCCGAAGUCAGUGACCCAACCGCAAGGAGGGAGCUGCCGAAGGCAGGUCUGAUAACUGGGGUGAAGUCGUAACAAGGUA
rnacentral:rRNA from 1 species